UACGUAGGCAGCGAGCGUUGUUCGGAGUUACUGGGCGUAAAGGGUGUGUAGGCGGUUGUUUAAGGUUGGGGUGAAAUCUCCCGGCUCAACUGGGAGGGUGCGCCGAAUACUGAAUGACUAGAGUGCGGGAGAGGAAAGUGGAAUUCCUGGUGUAGCGGUGAAAUGCGUAGAUAUCAGGAGGAACACCGGUGGUGUAGACGGCUUUCUGGACCGUAACUGACGCUGAGACACGAAAGCGUGGGGAGCAAACAGG
rnacentral:rRNA from 1 species